GCAUCGAUAGCUCAGUGGCAGAGCGGUGGGGCGUUUACAUGCGGCCCGGUUCGAUCCCCGGUCGAUGCA